rnacentral:rRNA from 1 species
GAUUAGAUACCGUCGUAGUCUUAACUAUAAACUAUGCCGACCAGGGAUAUGAGUUGUUAUGAAUGACUUUUAGUUAUUCAAUUUCCUCUUGUGGACCUUGUGAGAAAUCAUAAGUUUUUGGGUUCUGGGGGGAGUAUGGUCGCAAGGCUGAAACUUAAAGGAAUUGACGGAGGGGCACCACCAGGAGUGGAGCGUGCGGCUUAAUUUGACUCAACACGGGAAAACUUACCAGGUCCAGACAUUAGAAGGAUUGACAGAUUGAUAGCUCUUUCAUGAUUUAAUGGGUGGUGGUGCAUGGCCGUUCUUAGUUGGUGGAGUGAUUUGUCUGGUUAAUUCCGAUAACGAACGAGACCUUUACCAUACUAAAUAGUUUGAUUUAUUCAUUUAUGAAUAGAUUUACAUUUUAUAAACUUCUUAGAGGGACUAUUGGUUCUUAAACCAAAGGAAGUAAAGGCGAUAACAGGUCUGUGAUGCCCUUAGAUGUUCUGGGCUGCACGCGCGCUACAAUGAUAAACUCAACGAGUAUUUAAUAUUUAUUUAUUAUAUUGCUGUAUUGGAAAGUAUGGCUAAUCUUAAACGUUUAUCGUGCUUGGGAUAGAUGAUUGCAAUUAUUUAUCUUGAACCAGGAAUUCCUAGUAAUCGUAUAUCAUCAGUGUGCGAUGAUUACGUCCCUGCCCCUUGUACACACCGCCCGUCGCUGCUACCGAUUGGAUGAUCCGGUGAAAUCCUCGGAUAAUGAUAAAUACUUUACUUUGUAAAGUUUAUCGUUAGAAGUUGAUUAAACCUUAUCAUCUAGAGGAAGCAAAAGUCGUAACAAGGUUUCCGUAGGUGAACCUGCAGAAGGAUCA